rnacentral:rRNA from 1 species
AAAGAAAUCAACCGAGAUUCCCCCAGUAGCGGCGAGCGAACGGGGAGGAGCCCAGAGCCUGAAUCAGCAUGUGUGUUAGUGGAAGCGUCUGGAAAGGCGCGCGAUACAGGGUGACAGCCCCGUACACAAAAGCGCAUGUGCUGUGAGCUCGAUGAGUAGGGCGGGACACGUGGUAUCCUGUCUGAAUAUGGGGGGACCAUCCUCCAAGGCUAAAUACUCCUGACUGACCGAUAGUGAACCAGUACCGUGAGGGAAAGGCGAAAAGAACCCCGGCGAGGGGAGUGAAAAAGAACCUGAAACCGUGUACGUACAAGCAGUGGGAGCACAGGUUUACCUGUGUGACUGCGUACCUUUUGUAUAAUGGGUCAGCGACUUAUAUUCUGUAGCAAGGUUAACCGUAUAGGGGAGCCGGAGGGAAACCGAGUCUUAACCGGGCGUUAAGUUGCAGGGUAUAGACCCGAAACCCGGUGAUCUAGCCAUGGGCAGGUUGAAGGUUGGGUAACACUAACUGGAGGACCGAACCGACUAAUGUUGAAAAAUUAGCGGAUGACCUGUGGCUGGGGGUGAAAGGCCAAUCAAACCGGGAGAUAGCUGGUUCUCCCCGAAAGCUAUUUAGGUAGCGCCUCGUGAAUUCAUCUCCGGGGGUAGAGCACUGUUUCGGCUAGGGGGCCAUCCCGGCUUACCAACCCGAUGCAAACUGCGAAUACCGGAGAAUGUUAUCACGGGAGACACACGGCGGGUGCUAACGUCCGUCGUGAAGAGGGAAACAACCCAGACCGCCAGCUAAGGUCCCAAAGUCAUGGUUAAGUGGGAAACGAUGUGGGAAGGCCCAGACAGCCAGGAUGUUGGCUUAGAAGCAGCCAUCAUUUAAAGAAAGCGUAAUAGCUCACUGGUCGAGUCGGCCUGCGCGGAAGAUGUAACGGGGCUAAACCAUGCACCGAAGCUGCGGCAGCGAACGUAUCACCCAAGACAACUUUACGGAGUUGACGAUUGACGGAGCGAAGCGACGUCAAAGCGUUCAUUAAAGUCGAGUUGGCUUAGGGAUACGUUCGUUGGGUAGGGGAGCGUUCUGUAAGCCUGUGAAGGUGGCCUGUGAGGGUUGCUGGAGGUAUCAGAAGUGCGAAUGCUGACAUAAGUAACGAUAAAGCGGGUGAAAAGCCCGCUCGCCGGAAGACCAAGGGUUCCUGUCCAACGUUAAUCGGGGCAGGGUGAGUCGACCCCUAAGGCGAGGCCGAAAGGCGUAGUCGAUGGGAAACGGGUUAAUAUUCCCGUACUUGGUGUUACUGCGAAGGGGGGACGGAGAAGGCUAUGUUGGCCGGGCGACGGUU